rnacentral:misc_RNA from 1 species
UCCGGUUUGUCACCGGCAGUCCCAUUAGAGUGCUCAACUGAAUGUAGCAACUAAUGGCAAGGGUUGCGCUCGUUGCGGGACUUAGCCCAACAUCUCACGACACGAGCUGACGACAGCCAUGCAGCACCUGUGCGGACUCCGGCCGAACCGAAGGGAGCGUCUCUGCUCCCGGCGAGUCCCAUGUCAAGGGCUGGUAAGGUUCUGCGCGUUGCGUCGAAUUGAACCGCAUGCUCCGCCGCUUGUGCGGGCCCCCGUCAAUUCCUUUGAGUUUCAGCCUUGCGGCCGUACUCCCCAGGCGGGGCACUUACUGCGUUAGCGACGGCACUCAAGGGGUCGCUCCCCCAAGCACCUAGUGCCCAUCGUUUACGGCGUGGACUAC